UCUGUCAGUAGACUCAAUUUC
rnacentral:miRNA from 1 species